rnacentral:lncRNA from 1 species
CCUUUUUCUUUCUUUUUCUAAAUCAUGAAACCAAAGAUGAAAGAAAAACUAUAUCGGUUGAACCUGAUAUCAAAUUUAAAAGUAAGAAGAGAGGUGACUCACAGCCUGAUAUGACGAUGAAGAAGAUGCACAGAAACGACUCAGCCUGCGAAAAUGGUGAAGAAGAUGACAAAAUUAGAUCUACAAUUUUAGAUUAGGGUUUUGUUUUAUAUUUUGUUUCUUUGGAUUAGGAUUUAGGGUUGCCCAACAGAAUUCUGGG